UUGUGUUCCUGCUAGGGACGAGUCCUUUUAGGAACCAGGCCCUGUUGAAACGGAUGUCAACAGUGCCCACGGCCUAUUUUUUCUUAGACACCAACCCAGCCUCCCCCUUCCGCACCUGCCGCGCACCUUCCUGCCGUGGGGUCAGGCGGGGCUAGGAGACGGUCAGGUGGCUCCUCUGCCUCCCCGGCUGACGUGGACGCAGACGGGAAUCCGCCCUAUAACAGGCGCAGGCUGUUCGCGCGCGGCGAGGCGCUGUGGGGCGUGUUGCGGGCGGCUCCCCGGCUGGGCGGCUGCAGUAGGUCCCUCGACGUCGCCGUCUCUGCCCCCUCUUCCCCUUGCCGUUCCGGGCCCCACCCGGAGGGAGGAAGAGUCCGCGAGAGGCCCGGCGGGGAUGGCUGCGGAGACGAGCCCCGGCAGCCAGCAAGACAGCAGCGGGUGAGCUCCUUGAAUCACUUGGUGGGCCCAAAGACAAGCAUGAGCAACUUGCAAGAAGCCUUCAGAGACUGCUGUGGAGUUCCCACCAUACAUAGAGAGAGUGCUGCCAGCGUGAAUGAAAACCUAAUACUGUAAAGGAUUUUUUUUAAGAGGAAGAAGGUCCAGGACUACUUGGAAGGGGGAUGCCAUAUGAGUUACUUCUCCCACCCAGCACAUUGCUAAGUAUAUGGGUGUGUAUAUCUGCACAUGCAGUGAACCCUUAAUCCACCUUUUAGUAUUAAUCAAAGUAGAUAUCCAAAAAAGCAUUUCUAAGGACUACACACUAAAUCCAUGGUCAACUAAAGCAUGGUUUAGUGAAUUCUACUGUCUGGGUUUUCCCAACCAUAAACUAAGCAUAUUGAAUGAAUUUGCACAAUAUACUGAGCAGUGGCUUGUAUUUUGGUCCAGUAUGUUCUCUGAACCCAGCUAUUGAUCAAGUGGGUCUGUGGGCUAUAUUGAUAUUCUCCCAUGUCAUGCCCUUUCAGAUAUAGCGAAUUACACUCCCAAUAUACUUACCUGAAGAUUAUGGGAAUUGUACGGUAGCACAUCUAAAAGGCAACAGUAAUAAUUAAAUGUUGUAGUCAGAUGUGGUGGUUGUGGCUUUUGAUUGCAAUAUAAAGUGUGAAG